rnacentral:rRNA from 1 species
UACAGAGACUGCGAGCGUUAUUCGGAUUCACUGGGCGUAAAGGGUGCGCAGGCGGCCGUGUGUGUGAGGCGUGAAAGCCCGGGGCUUAACCCCGGAAUUGCACCUCAAACUACACGGCUAGAGCAUUGGAGAGGGUAGCGGAAUUCACGGUGUAGCAGUGAAAUGCGUAGAUAUCGAGAGGAACACCAGUGGCGAAGGCGAGUCCCUGGACAGGUCCUGACGCUGAGGCACGAAAGCUAGGGGAGCAAACAGG